rnacentral:rRNA from 1 species
AUUGAACGCUGGCGGCAGGCCUAACACAUGCAAGUCGAGCGGCAGCGGGAAAGUAGCUUGCUACUUUUGCCGGCGAGCGGCGGACGGGUGAGUAAUGCCUGGGGAUCUGCCCAGUCGAGGGGGAUAACUACUGGAAACGGUAGCUAAUACCGCAUACGCCCUACGGGGGAAAGCAGGGGACCUUCGGGCCUUGCGCGAUUGGAUGAACCCAGGUGGGAUUAGCUAGUUGGUGAGGUAAUGGCUCACCAAGGCGACGAUCCCUAGCUGGGCUGAGAGGAGGAUCAGCCACACUGGAACUGAGACACGGUCCAGACUCCUACGGGAGGCAGCAGUGGGGAAUAUUGCACAAUGGGGGAAACCCUGAUGCAGCCAUGCCGCGUGUGUGAAGAAGGCCUUCGGGUUGUAAAGCACUUUCAGCGAGGAGGAAAGGUUGGUAGCUAAUAACUGCCAGCUGUGACGUUACUCGCAGAAGAAGCACCGGCUAACUCCGUGCCAGCAGCCGCCGUAACAC